rnacentral:rRNA from 1 species
UUGACCUCGGAUCAGGUAGGGAUACCCGCUGAACUUAAGCCUAAAA